AACGAACGCUGGCGGCAUGCCUAACACAUGCAAGUCGAACGGGACCUUCGGGUCUAGUGGCGCACGGGUGCGUAACGCGUGGGAACCUGCCCUUAGGUUCGGAAUAACUCCCCGAAAGGGGUGCUAAUACCGGAUAAUGUCUUCGGACCAAAGAUUUAUCGCCUUUGGAUGGGCCCGCGUUGGAUUAGCUAGUUGGUAGGGUAAAAGCCUACCAAGGCGACGAUCCAUAGUUGGUCUGAGAGGAUGAUCAGCCACACUGGGACUGAGACACGGCCCAGACUCCUACGGGAGGCAGCAGUGGGGAAUAUUGGACAAUGGGCGAAAGCCUGAUCCAGCAAUGCCGCGUGAGUGAUGAAGGCCUUAGGGUUGUAAAGCUCUUUUACCCGGGAUGAUAAUGACAGUACCGGGAGAAUAAGCGCCGGCUAACUCCGUG
rnacentral:rRNA from 1 species